AUAUAUAAAACCAAACGUCUCCUCUAACUAGAAGAAACUAAAAAUCCAGCUGCAAACUUCAAACAUCAGAUGGUUGGGCCUAACUGGCACUUUGUUUGCACUAAUGAAAUUCUUCCUCUACGCUUCCCUUUUUCUCUUUCUCAUCUUCCUUCGCUCGCGGCCCUCUCCAUUCUUCUCUGCCUUCAGGUUCAAGAAAUGGUAGUGGAAUUAGUUAUUCGGGUUCUGUUAGGAGGGAGUUAUUUCAGGAUAAACAGUCUUAAGUUAAGCGAUGAUAGAGCUAAAGGAUACAUAGCUUUCUUAGUGGGUUAUUGAGAUCUCGAACAAGCCUGGGGAGGAAGAGCCUGAACCUGCAUUCGAGGUCGUGAGCUUCUGUUACGUCUCGCCGAUUGGAUAUGCGACAACUAUGCGAAGGAUUCGUUGAUGGAUAUUUUUCAAGGAGGCAUGGUAAUGCUAACAAUAUUGACCUCAAUCGAGAUUUUCCUGACCAGUUCUUUUCACUCAAUAAUGAGAUAAAUGCACGUCAACCUGAAAUGAGCAGUUAUGAAUUGGCUGAGAGAGAUACAAUUUGCAGCAUCUGCCAGUUUGCAUGGGGGAUUACUAGUUGCAAAUUACCCAUGGGAUGGCACCGAGGACAACAUGCAAUUAUGGUUAUUGAACAGAUUGCUGUACCUCUUCAUGUUUUGUUAUAAAUCCUUUAAUUCCUCUGUAAAUGUUUCCAUGUUAUCCCUUUGGAAAUUGUUAGACUAUGCCAUGCUGAUUCAAACCCAAUCUGCUUAUUUCAGCAUUGUUGCCCAACUUUUUUUUUUUUAAUUUGGCCAUUGAUCAUCGAUCUCUUAGAUGGGUAUAUUGAUUCACAUUUCUUAUUAUAUAGUUCAGGUUUCCAUCUUAAAAAAUGAUAUUUGUAUCUUUGGCAGCAUCACCAUGAUGUGGUUCCUAAACAAAUCUUUCCUUUCAAUAGUUUUCUUGUGGCUAUAUAUCAGGCUUGGUGAAUGUAGUUUAGUUUCUACCAGUAUAUAAUUCCUUAAAAGAUGCCACAAGUGAUUUCACUAAGUGGAUUUCUUGUUUUAUCUUUUGUGAUUUUGUCCCCCUAAAUGCUCUUACUAACACCGAGGAUGCUGUAAUUAAGUUGCCUAAUUUUUUAUGCCCUGCUUAGGAUUUCCUUUCUGUUCUCUUGCACACAUAGCUUUAUCUUGUUAUGUGAACCCAAUUUCUGGAGAAAUUACUAUGCAUGCCCUGAUGAUGAUACGUUCCGGUUCAUGGCAAGUAUAUAUAGUCAGUCGUUCUCACCAUAAAAUUCUCUGAGUGAGGAAUUCUUUGGAGGAAUAACAAAUGGAGCAUCUUGUUAUGGCAAACUCAGAACUAUUUCUCAUGCACAAGAAGUGCACUGUUGUAAACAUUCAAGGCUGUCAAAAUUUGCACGUAUUUAAUUUUUGCUUUUCUUCUGUUGUCUUUCCUUUAUGUGUUUCUCAGCGACAUUUUUAACCAAAACUUGCUGUAGGUACCCAAUAUAUGGUGGAAUGCAAGAUUGGAAUUAUAUACAUGCUGGGUGUUUCGAAUUGAUUUUGGAGAUUAGUGACAACAAAUGGCCUGAUGCAAGCGAGUUCAGAUUUUUUUUUCCAGACUGUAUUUGCGUUAAUUGUCAGUAAAUCACCCCUUUCCUUCAUUCUUUCUAUCCUACAGUCUUCCAAUUGCUUAAUAUGUCUUGCCAUGUACCUGAGCAGCUUCCUACUCUAUGGGAGUACAGCAAAAUGAGUUUACUAAACAUUGCAGCCUUGUGAAGGUUAAAGCUGGCAGAGGGUUUGCUGAUUACCAUCGGCUCCUUGCCCCCGGAGAGAGAUAUGAAGGUAUGUCAUAUGUUGAUAUGUUAAGAUCAGGAUCAAACUCCUAGCUAUUUGGGUAAGACAUCAAAUCUCUUAAAAGUUCAAAGUGAUCAAAUAGUUGAAAUUUUCAAAACUUGCCAGUAAGAAAAAUUAAUGAAUAUUGUAAUGUUAGAAGUGAAUCCGUUCCUUGCGUGGCAAGACAACAAUGCCGAGCCAAAUAUCAACCAGAACAUUACUCCAUCCAAAAGUAAAAACUUAAUCGAAUUAAUCUCAUGAAUCUUAAAUCUUAUUCUAAACCAGGCAAUCUUCAUCGCAUAAUCCCAACAAUUUUACAUAUAACCUUUGAUUUAGUUAUUAGUUAUAUUAGUUGAAUAUAUUAACAUUUGUUGGUUCAAAAUUCAAUAUGAUCUUGAAAUAUUAUAUGUUUGAUUUACUGGAUAGUUUAAGAGUACUGUUCUGUUCCUGCUUGGAACUCUGAUAUCAACGGGACAACUGUGUCUGUAUGGCCAGUGCGCCUGGAUACAAACCAAAGACCACACAUAUUUCUCUGGAAGAAGCAGCCCCAUGGAUCUGGACUUAUUCUGGAUCCAGAGGUCACAACCAAGGGGAAUCUACGAAGUAUUAAUGAUUGUAGCUGUGAAAGCAAGUGCGGCUUUCAGUUCAUGUGUACCUUAACAUCAAAAAGAUAAAUGUAGAUUCAUUAUCUGCAAAUCUCCUGUCAAACAUA